rnacentral:rRNA from 1 species
CAACGCGAAGAACCUUACCAGGUCUUGACAUCUCCUGACAAUCCUAGAGAUAGGACGUUCCCCUUCGGGGGACAGGAUGACAGGUGGUGCAUGGUUGUCGUCAGCUCGUGUCGUGAGAUGUUGGGUUAAGUCCCGCAACGAGCGCGACCCUUGAUCUUAGUUGCCAGCAUUAAGUUGGGCACUCUAAGGUGACUGCCGGUGACAAACCGGAGGAAGGUGGGGAUGACGUCAAAUCAUCAUGCCCCUUAUGACCUGGGCUACACACGUGCUACAAUGGAUGGUACAAAGGGCAGCAAAACCGCGAGGUCGAGCCAAUCCCAUAAAACCAUUCUCAGUUCGGAUUGUAGGCUGCAACUCGCCUACAUGAAGCUGGAAUCGCUAGUAAUCGCGGAUCAGCAUGCCGCGGUGAAUACGUUCCCGGGCCUUGUACACACCGCCCGUCACACCACGAGAGUUUGUAACACCCGAAGUCGGUGGGGUAACCUUUUAGGAGCCAGCCGCCUAAGGUGGG